AUACGGAGGGUGCGAGCGUUGUUCGGAAUUAUUGGGCGUAAAGAGCAUGUAGGCGGUCUGUUAAGUCUGGUGUGAAAGCCCGGGGCUCAACCCCGGAAGUGCAUUGGAUACUGGCAGACUUGAGUAUGCGAGAGGAAAGCGGAAUUCCGAGUGUAGGAGUGAAAUCCGUAGAUAUUCGGAGGAACACCAGUGGCGAAGGCGGCUUUCUGGACCAAUACUGACGCUGAGAUGCGAAAGCGUGGGGAGCGAACAGAAUUAGAAACCCUAGUAGUCC
rnacentral:rRNA from 1 species